UUCCCCUUCCCCUUCAGCCCUGUCUCUCUCCCAAAGUAGAAACCCAAACCCAGAAAAAUGUCUUAACCUCCCUCGCCUCGUUAGUACCAUCAUCACCGGUGAACAACACCCAAGUCUCCGACAUGUACAGCGGUGCGAUCUCCUCCGUUGUGACCCAUUUCCCAGCAGCGCCGACGAGGAAACCCAAACCCAUUAAAAUUUCUCAAGCUUUCUCGCCUCGUCAGGACCAUCACCAAUGAACAACAUCCAACUCUCCGACGUGUAUAGCGGCGCGAUCUCCUCCGUCGUGACCCAUUUCCCAACGGCGCUGACGAGCAACAACACCAACGUCACCCAUUUCCCCAUUUUGUCACGGACGAUCUCCUCCGACCCAAGACGGUGCUUCCCUCUCUCACUCAGCUCAGCUCAGCCUGUAAUAUGUCUUCUGCCACUACUUAUGAGUCCACUUCUAGUGGCCAUAUGUGUGAUAUGGAUCGGUGUGUAGAAAGGACCUCCCUAUCUAUCCGUAAUUCGGUAGGAGGUUCUAUGGAUGUCAGUAGUGGUCGCCGGACUCCGAUCAAGCAUGUAAGUUCUUCAAAUGGUUGGACAAGAACACAUGCCCACGUGGCCGUGCAACAGCACCACUUGUCCAUGAAAGGUUUACCCGAUAUAAGGCCGAGGCCGUAGCUGCAAGAAAUGAAAGGGAUGAGGCUCAUGCAAGGGAAGCAGAAGCAUGGGAGUUCCUAAGGAUAGUAAAGCGCAAGGCUGAAAAAACUAAGCUCGCACUCCAGACUGCUGAAGACAAGGUCUACAGGUAUAGGCUAGCUUUAUUUUUCUCUUGGACUAUGGUUGGCAUUUAUUUUGUAUUCUCUACUGCUUUUGGGGGCCAUGGCCAUACACAACUGUGUCUGCCAUGACCCAUUGACAAUCACGUGUGUAAUGUAAAUAUCUUUCAUAUUUAAGCUUUUUUUUUUUGUUGGAUCAUCUUUUUCUUUUCUUUUUUCAAAGAAGAGUUUGAUCAGCUAUGUAGUUGUUGUGAUCCAAAAUUUUGCAAUAGUGUAUCCUGCUAUAUUUCUAGAUUA